rnacentral:rRNA from 1 species
UACAGAGGUCCUCAAGCGUUGUUCGGAUUCAUUUGGGCGUAAAGGGUGCGUAGGCGGCGCGGUAAGUCGGGUGUGAAAUCUCGGAGCUUAACUCCGAAACUGCAUUCGAUACUGCCGUGCUUGAGGACUGGAGAGGAGACUGGAAUUUUACGGUGUAGCGGUGAAAAUGCGUAGAUAUCGUAAGGAAGACCAGUGGCGAAGGCGGGGUCUCUGGACAGUU